ACCAAGCCCCUCAGGAUCUGAUCAUUUCCCUCUGUCCCCACUCCUAGUCACAUCUGGCCUCCAGCUGUACAGUUUGUAAAUAAGUCUAUCUAUAAAAAAUGUGCACAAGAACGUCACAGCAGCUUUAUUCCUAACAGCCCCAAACUAGAAACAACCUAAGUGUCAUCAGCUGGUGAAUAUAUACACAAAUUGUGAUACAUUCAUACAACGCGGUGAUACAAAGGAACAGCUCCUGAUAACCACACAGUAUAAACAAAUCUCAGGUUAUGCUGAAAGAAGCCAAACAGUAGAGUCCAUUCUAUAUGAUUUAUGGUAAUGUCCAAAAGAAUCAAAACUAAUCUAUAGUGAUAAAUAUCGGAUGAAUGGCUGCCUGAGGGUAGGGGUGGAGAGAGGGAGAUUUUUUUUGUACAGGGGUGCAGAGAACUUUCUAGAAAGAUGAAAACUUUUUUUUACUUUUAGCACACACCACCUUUGGAAGAAAAUGUUCUUUAUCUUGAUUGGGAUAGUGGCUACAAGAGGAUAUGCACAUAUCAAAAGAGAAGAAUGUCAUUCUACAGACUUACACUGACCAUCAGCCGGCUAAAGGCCCAGAUCGCUAUAAGCUUUCAAGUCUCCGAUGUGUCUCUCUGAACUUCUGCUGGAUGAACCAUCCUCCAUUCUGAUGCCUUCCCCCACCCAACCUCCAACUCCAAUCCUUGCUGGAGGAACCAGCGGCAUUACCACUAGCUUUCGGUAGGCUGGGAUCAGACAGGUUCCCUGUGACCACCAAGAGAAUGGUUGUCAGCUCUGCCUAUGUAUCUUUCCAGCAGGGCUGGAACCACAUGGGAAGUCUUAGAAAUCUGCUAUCUAUUCCUGUCGACAAUGAUUUGGCAAUGAGGAAAACCUGACAGAGUAUCUGCUAUGUGCUAGUCACUGCAGACUUCCCCAUCUAAUCUCACAACAAACCUGUAAGGUAAAUACUAGCAUGUUCAUUAUGUGGGUGAAGAAACUGAGACAUGAGGGGUAA